rnacentral:rRNA from 1 species
UACGUAGGGCGCAAGCGUUAUCCGGAAUUAUUGGGCGUAAAGAGCUCGUAGGCGGUUUGUCGCGUCUGCUGUGAAAUCUGGGGGCUCAACCCCCGGCCUGCAGUGGGUACGGGCAGACUAGAGUGCGGUAGGGGAGAUUGGAAUUCCUGGUGUAGCGGUGGAACGCGCAGAUAUCAGGAGGAACACCGAUGGCGAAGGCAGAUCUCUGGGCCGUAACUGACGCUGAGGAGCGAAAGCAUGGGGAGCGAACAGG